rnacentral:miRNA from 1 species
UGUCUAGAUGUGCAUUUCAAAGU